AUGAGGACCUUGAGCGGAUGGCGUCGCUUCCUCAUGCUUGUCCCUCUUCUCUUCUUUCUUGCUCACUUCUUCUCCGGUAUGCUCUCUCUCUCUCUCUCUCUCUCUCUCUCUCUCUCUCUCUCCAUACGUAUAUAUUUUCAUGUCCGCAGGAAUCAAAGCUCUUAACAAAACCCAUUUCUCCACUGCCCCUACUACCCUUGUUGAUAACAUUCACUUUGUCACUGUCUUCACCCUAUACAACGCCACCCAUCCCGAUGAUCGAUUAUCAAACUUGGUUACUGUUGGCAAUACUUCUUACUCUAAGUUGCAGAGGUCUAUGGCCAUUUUGAAUAUUUUCGUUAACUUCAUUCAGGCGGCAAUGCCCAGGAGCAAUGUAAUUAUUCUAACCGACCCAGCGUCUGAUCUUUUAAUCCACAGAAAUGGGGUCACCAUACAUCCAAUUCAAGGUGAAUAUUCGCGUGGCAAGUUGAUGCUUCAAAGAAUCAGGUCUUACAUUGCCUUCCUAGAAACAAGAAUGGAUAAGAUUUCUCAAAACCAGGGUCAUAUUCAACAUUACAUCUUCACCGACUCGGAUAUAGCCGUGGUUGAUGAUAUAGGACAUAUAUUUCAUGAUUAUCCAAAUUUUCAUCUGGCACUGACCUUCCGAAACAACAAAGAACAACCUCUGAAUUCUGGAUUUAUAGCAGUCAGGGGUACUCCUGGUGGCAUCUUAAGAUCCCUCUGGACCGCUUCCGGUGAUGGCUCUCGUAAUUUCUCCUCUGUGAUUCUAGAGCUUCCUACUGUGCUUGAUGUUGGAGUCGCAAAAUCCCCAAACCUUGCUCAUUCCCUUGACCAUGAUCGUCCUGCUCAACCAUCAAGACACCCAGAUUUUCGUUGUCGCCUGCCACCUACGGUAGGGGAGUGA